rnacentral:tRNA from 1 species
GCCGGGGUGGCGGAAUUGGUAGACGCGCCAGACUCAAAAUUUGGUGGUGGUAACGCCGUGUGGGUUCGAGUCCCACCCUCGGCA